rnacentral:misc_RNA from 1 species
GCGAGUAUGGCCCUCACGGGUCUAAUCCACCAUAAACACCUUUGUGAACCAGUCAGGGGGACUCGACCGUGAAAGCCCAGGCGAUUAGCGGAAGGGCCCUCCUUUGCAAACCCGUUUAGAAGUCUUGAAAGUACUUUUGUAUAAUCUAGUA